GAAGGUAUAGUUUAGUGGUAAAGUGUGUGCUUAGCAUGCACCAGUCUUGGGUCCAAUCCCCAGUAUCUCCG
rnacentral:tRNA from 1 species